rnacentral:rRNA from 1 species
AUUGAACGCUGGCGGCAUGCCUUACACAUGCAAGUCGAACGGCAGCGCGGGGCAACCUGGCGGCGAGUGGCGAACGGGUGAGUAAUAUAUCGGAACGUGCCCUGGAGUGGGGGAUAACGUAGCGAAAGUUACGCUAAUACCGCAUACGAUCCAAGGAUGAAAGCAGGGGACCUUCGGGCCUUGUGCUCCUGGAGCGGCCGAUAUCUGAUUAGCUAGUUGGUGGGGUAAAAGCCUACCAAGGCGACGAUCAGUAGCUGGUCUGAGAGGACGACCAGCCACACUGGAACUGAGACACGGUCCAGACUCCUACGGGAGGCAGCAGUGGGGAAUUUUGGACAAUGGGGGGCAACCCUGAUCCAGCAAUGCCGCGUGUGUGAAGAAGGCCUUCGGUUGUAAGCACUUUGUCAGGAACGAAACGGUUAGAGGUUAA